rnacentral:rRNA from 1 species
UACGUAGGGGGCUAGCGUUGUCCGGAUUUAUUGGGCGUAAAGAGCUCGUAGGCGGCUUGUCGCGUCGUCCGUGAAAACCCGGGGCUCAACUCCGGGCUUGCGGGCGAUACGGGCAGGCUAGAGUCGGUAGGGGAGACUGGAAUUCCUGGUGUAGCGGUGAAAUGCGCAGAUAUCAGGAGGAACACCGGUGGUGUAGACGGCUUUCUGGACCGUAA